rnacentral:tRNA from 1 species
GGCCGACACCGACCGGCACCAGGAGUCGCUGCGGCUCCUGCCCGCAGUCUCCGCGGGCACCGAACCGCAGAUCGCACUGCGUGCCGGCCGC